rnacentral:rRNA from 1 species
GGUUAAGCGACUAAGCGUACACGGUGGAUGCCCUGGCAGUCAGAGGCGAUGAAGGGCGUGCUAAUCUGCGAUAAGCGCCGGUAAGGUGAUAUGAACCGUUAUAACCGGCGAUACCCGAAUGGGGAAACCCAGUGUGACUCGUCACACUAUCAUUAACUGAAUCCAUAGGUUAAUGAGGCGAACCGGGGGAACUGAAACAUCUAAGUACCCCGAGGAAAAGAAAUCAACCGAGAUUCCCCCAGUAGCGGCGAGCGAACGGGGAGGAGCCCAGAGCCUGAAUCAGCAUGUGUGUUAGUGGAAGCGUCUGGAAAGGCGCGCGAUACAGGGUGACAGCCCCGUACACAAAAGCGCAUGUGCUGUGAGCUCGAUGAGUAGGGCGGGACACGUGGUAUCCUGUCUGAAUAUGGGGGGACCAUCCUCCAAGGCUAAAUACUCCUGACUGACCGAUAGUGAACCAGUACCGUGAGGGAAAGGCGAAAAGAACCCCGGCGAGGGGAGUGAAAAAGAACCUGAAACCGUGUACGUACAAGCAGUGGGAGCACCCUUUGGGGUGUGACUGCGUACCUUUUGUAUAAUGGGUCAGCGACUUAUAUUCUGUAGCAAGGUUAACCGAAUAGGGGAGCCGGAGGGAAACCGAGUCUUAAUUGGGCGUUAAGUUGCAGGGUAUAGACCCGAAACCCGGUGAUCUAGCCAUGGGCAGGUUGAAGGUUGGGUAACACUAACUGGAGGACCGAACCGACUAAUGUUGAAAAAUUAGCGGAUGACCUGUGGCUGGGGGUGAAAGGCCAAUCAAACCGGGAGAUAGCUGGUUCUCCCCGAAAGCUAUUUAGGUAGCGCCUCGUGAAUUCAUCUCCGGGGGUAGAGCACUGUUUCGGCUAGGGGGCCAUCCCGGCUUACCAACCCGAUGCAAACUGCGAAUACCGGAGAAUGUUAUCACGGGAGACACACGGCGGGUGCUAACGUCCGUCGUGAAGAGGGAAACAACCCAGACCGCCAGCUAAGGUCCCAAAGUCAUGGUUAAGUGGGAAACGAUGUGGGAAGGCCCAGACAGCCAGGAUGUUGGCUUAGAAGCAGCCAUCAUUUAAAGAAAGCGUAAUAGCUCACUGGUCGAGUCGGCCUGCGCGGAAGAUGUAACGGGGCUAAACCAUGCACCGAAGCUGCGGCAGCGACACUCAGGCGUUGUUGGGUAGGGGAGCGUUCUGUAAGCCUGUGAAGGUGGCCUGUGAGGGUUGCUGGAGGUAUCAGAAGUGCGAAUGCUGACAUAAGUAACGAUAAAGCGGGUGAAAAGCCCGCUCGCCGGAAGACCAAGGGUUCCUGUCCAACGUUAAUCGGGGCAGGGUGAGUCGACCCCUAAGGCGAGGCCGAAAGGCGUAGUCGAUGGGAAACGGGUUAAUAUUCCCGUACUUGGUGUUACUGCGAAGGGGGGACGGAGAAGGCUAUGUUGGCCGGGCGACGGUUGUCCCGGUUUAAGCGUGUAGGUGUGUGUUCCAGGUAAAUCCGGUUCACUUUAACACUGAGGCGUGAUGACGAGGCACUACGGUGCUGAAGCAACAAAUGCCCUGCUUCCAGGAAAAGCCUCUAAGCAUCAGGUAACAUCAAAUCGUACCCCAAACCGACACAGGUGGUCAGGUAGAGAAUACCAAGGCGCUUGAGAGAACUCGGGUGAAGGAACUAGGCAAAAUGGUGCCGUAACUUCGGGAGAAGGCACGCUGACACGUAGGUGAAGUGAUUUACUCAUGGAGCUGAAGUCAGUCGAAGAUACCAGCUGGCUGCAACUGUUUAUUAAAAACACAGCACUGUGCAAACACGAAAGUGGACGUAUACGGUGUGACGCCUGCCCGGUGCCGGAAGGUUAAUUGAUGGGGUCAGCGCAAGCGAAGCUCCUGAUCGAAGCCCCGGUAAACGGCGGCCGUAACUAUAACGGUCCUAAGGUAGCGAAAUUCCUUGUCGGGUAAGUUCCGACCUGCACGAAUGGCGUAAUGAUGGCCAGGCUGUCUCCACCCGAGACUCAGUGAAAUUGAACUCGCUGUGAAGAUGCAGUGUACCCGCGGCAAGACGGAAAGACCCCGUGAACCUUUACUAUAGCUUGACACUGAACAUUGAGCCUUGAUGUGUAGGAUAGGUGGGAGGCUUUGAAGUGUGGACGCCAGUCUGCAUGGAGCCGACCUUGAAAUACCACCCUUUAAUGUUUGAUGUUCUAACGUGGACCCGUAAUCCGGGUUGCGGACAGUGUCUGGUGGGUAGUUUGACUGGGGCGGUCUCCUCCUAAAGAGUAACGGAGGAGCACGAAGGUUGGCUAAUCCUGGUCGGACAUCAGGAGGUUAGUGCAAUGGCAUAAGCCAGCUUGACUGCGAGCGUGACGGCGCGAGCAGGUGCGAAAGCAGGUCAUAGUGAUCCGGUGGUUCUGAAUGGAAGGGCCAUCGCUCAACGGAUAAAAGGUACUCCGGGGAUAACAGGCUGAUACCGCCCAAGAGUUCAUAUCGACGGCGGUGUUUGGCACCUCGAUGUCGGCUCAUCACAUCCUGGGGCUGAAGUAGGUCCCAAGGGUAUGGCUGUUCGCCAUUUAAAGUGGUACGCGAGCUGGGUUUAGAACGUCGUGAGACAGUUCGGUCCCUAUCUGCCGUGGGCGCUGGAGAACUGAGGGGGGCUGCUCCUAGUACGAGAGGACCGGAGUGGACGCAUCACUGGUGUUCGGGUUGUCAUGCCAAUGGCACUGCCCGGUAGCUAAAUGCGGAAGAGAUAAGUGCUGAAAGCAUCUAAGCACGAAACUUGCCCCGAGAUGAGUUCUCCCUGAGACUUAGAGUCUCCUGAAGGAACGUUGAAGACGACGACGUUGAUAGGCCGGGUGUGUAAGCGCAGCGAUGCGUUGAGCUAACCGGUACUAAUGAACCGUGAGGCUUAACCUU